AACGCGAAGAACCUUACCUACCCUUGACAUCCUCGGAAUCUUUCAGAGAUGAAAGAGUGCCUUCGGGAACCGAGAGACAGGUGCUGCAUGGCUGUCGUCAGCUCGUGUCGUGAGAUGUUGGGUUAAGUCCCGUAACGAGCGCAACCCUCGCCCUUAGUUGCUAACAGUUCGGCUGAGAACUCUAAGGGGACCGCCGGUGAUAAACCGGAGGAAGGCGGGGACGACGUCAAGUCAUCAUGGCCCUUACGGGUAGGGCUACACACGUGCUACAAUGGGCAGUACAAAGGGUUGCCAAGCCGCGAGGUGGAGCUAAUCCCAAAAAGCUGCUCUUAGUCCGGAUUGGAGUCUGCAACUCGACUCUAUGAAGUCGGAAUCGCUAGUAAUCGCAAAUCAGCAUGUUGCGGUGAAUACGUUCCCGGGCCUUGUACACACCGAUAGC
rnacentral:rRNA from 1 species